UUAUGCAAGAAUCAGUUGUGGCGGAGACGCAAUAAAACUGACGAAGCUGAAGUGGCAUAUUUUAUACACCAGCAGCUUCAGACAUCGGGACGGCAACAUGGCUAUCGGUGGAUGCACCAAAAAUGUUGGAUGUCCGGAAUUAUUACAGACAGAGAAACUGUCCGUCAGUUGAUGAGACUGUUAGAUGGACAAGGAGUUGAUCUACGUGCUCAUGGUCGUCUACGCCGACGCGUAUAUAACAGUCGCGGGCCAAAUUAUGUUUGGCAUAUUGACGGGUAUGAUAAAUUAAAACCUUACGGAAUAUGUAUAAACGGAUGCAUUGAUGGGUUUUCCAGAAAAAUGAUCUGGCUUGAGGCAUACAAAACGAACAAUGACCCACGAGUAGGCUAAUUGCAGGUUAUUUUGUACUUGCUGUUGCUGAGAAUAACGGAUUUCCACAAAGAAUUCGCAUUGACCAUGGAACUGAAAAUACUCAUAUAGCAGAGAUGCAAAAAUUCUUCAGAGACACUGCAAGUGCUGAUUGUGUCACUCUUGGUCCAAGCACUGGGAACCAGAGAAUCGAACGAUGGUGGUCCACUUUGAGAAGCCAGUGCAUACAGUUUUGGAUGGAUCAUUUUGAACAACUAAAAGAAGAUGGACACUUUGUUGACAGUUUCAUUGAUAAAUCUCUCAUCCAGUUUUGCUUUCAACAUUUUAUACAGGAAGAGCUUGAUGAAACGGUCAGUGCCUGGAAUUGCCACAGGAUACGGCCAACUCACAACCCUCGUGCUCCCAGUGGUCGACCUUCAAUAAUGUUUGCUGUUCCCAGCUUAUAUGGAGUGCAGAAUUUCUUGCAUCCAAUUGAACAAACAAAACUGAACAUUUGCCAAGAGGAGUGUUUAUUUAAAGACUACCCUUGUGAUGAGGAUGUCUUUCAACUGUGUGUAGAACUCAUGACUGAGCAUAACCUUGUCAUGUCAGAUGAUGUUUAUGAAAUUACAGACCUUUACCUCCAGCUUCGUGAAUUGAUCCUUCAAGGACUGGACAUUGAGGACUAGAUUCACCAUACUAAAUUAAUAAACAUCACUAUAAGCUGUGUUGAAUUGCAGCCUUUCACCAAGUUACUCUUCCUACCCCAGCAACCUUGGACCACUGGAGGGAACAUCGCAGCGGCACAUGCUCUUCUGUUUGAAGAGGUCACAACCAUUCAUGAGGCAACAGAGAGUAUUGACGGCUUGAGUGGUGCUGCCAGCAUGCUGUCAAAUUGAGAUCUCGUUAUCUGCUUAUUUUCAGAGUUAUAACAUGACAAAAGCACAACUAUCCGAAUAAGAGGCAUCUAGAUGUAAUUAAAACACUUUUAAACAAUUGUAAAAAGUUUGCCUUAUUUUUAGAUUUUUUAUGUUUUUCCAUCUACAGAAAUGUUCAUUCUUUGUAUGAUUUUGCACGUGUUUGCGAUACAUUAUACUGUCAAUUCUUCAAGGCCUAACUUGAAUACAAAUGAAGCACAGCAAGCCUUUUUAGAUGUACAAGACAAUGUUUUGAACCUCAAAACUAAUGUAUUUAUGGCUUGAAACUGUUCAAAAUUGAUGGAUUUCUCUUCUGUUUAACCUUGACUUUGAAGACUUUAAAAGGGCAGGUGAUUGAAAAUAUGAACAUAAAUGGGUUUAUAGGUAAAUUGAUGUUAUUUGUCUCUGAAA